CAUAUCGUAAACCAUAAGGAUUAAUCAGAAAUGAAGCGGUUCCAUCAGGUUCCUCAACCUUGGCAGUCAAAUGAUUUAGAAUAUUCUCAUUCCAAUGUUCUAAACCAAAAAGACGAUAUGCCGCAGCUAACUCAAUACGCGUAGCAACCUCUUCAUCAGUGAAUUCAUGCAGACAUGACUUUCGGAGCAUUUCACGAACGGCAAUCGAGCUAAAUUCCGGUUUAGGAGCGUAGGUUUUAGGAUCAACUUUUGAAUUUGUGGCUAGUCCUCUCGUAAGGUUUACUCCAGUAAUUGCAUAAGUAGAACGCAAACUAUUAUUUAUGCAUUUUGCUGCAUUUUUCAAAGACAAAGGGGUAAAUUUUUUGCUAAGCAUAAUUGGAAUUUGAUAUAAGGUAAGCAAUCUAAAAUGCAGUUCUAGCCA